rnacentral:lncRNA from 1 species
AUGGAGGAACUGGAACGGCGUUGGCGGUGUCCUGGGGAGGUGGUGUCGUUCAUCAUCGCUGCUGCAGCCUCCUCACCGUUGCCUCCGCUCGAGCUUCAUCUCCGCGUGAGCUAUGCAGAGCCGGAGUAUGCGAGGUGGAUGCUUUCCCGCUCUCCAAGCUCCGUCGUCCAUCGUCCACCAGGGGCAGCCACAGCUGGCGAGCACCUCGCCUCCGCGGGCAUAGCUCUCUCCUCCAAGAUGUUAGCCAUGCCUUGCCUCGCUGGGGAAAAGAGGAAGAGGGACGGUGGCUGACGCUUGGUUC